rnacentral:rRNA from 1 species
AAAUAGAUACCCAGGUAGUCCACGCCGUAAACGUUGGGCGCUAGAUGUGGGGACCUUUCCACGGGUUUCCGUGUCGUAGCUAACGCAUUAAGCGCCCCGCCUGGGGAGUACGGCCGCAAGGCUAAAACUCAAAGGAAUUGACGGGGGCCCGCACAAGCGGCGGAGCAUGCGGAUUAAUUCGAUGCAACGCGAAGAACCUUACCAAGGCUUGACAUACACGAGAACGGGCCAGAAAUGGUCAACUCUUUGGACACUCGUGAACAGGUGGUGCAUGGUUGUCGUCAGCUCGUGUCGUGAGAUGUUGGGUUAAGUCCCGCAACGAGCGCAACCCUCGUCGCAUGUUGCCAGCACGUUAUGGUGGGGACUCAUGUGAGACUGCCGGGGUCAACUCGGAGGAAGGUGGGGAUGACGUCAAAUCAUCAUGCCCCUUAUGUCUUGGGCUUCACGCAUGCUACAAUGGCCGGUACAAGGGCUGCGAUGUCGUAAGGCGGAGCGAAUCCCAAAAAGCCGGUCUCAGUUCGGAUUGAGGUCUGCUAACCG